UACGGAGGGUGCAAACGUUGCUCGGAAUCAUUGGGCGUAAAGCGAGCGUAGGCGGUCUCGUAAGUCGGAUGUGAAAGCCCUCGGCUCAACCGAGGAAGUGCACCCGAGACUGCGAGACUUGAGUGUCGGAGAGGGUGACGGAAUUCCCGGUGUAGAGGUGAAAUUCGUAGAUAUCGGGAGGAACAUCAGUGGCGAAGGCGGUCACCUGGACGAUAACUGACGCUGAGGCUCGAAAGCGUGGGGAGCAAACAGG
rnacentral:rRNA from 1 species